GACAGCAUGGUGCAGUGGUUUGACUGUUAGACUACAGCUCUGAAGACAAGGGUUUGAACCCCUUCUCGGCCA